rnacentral:rRNA from 1 species
UACGGAGGGAGCUAGCGUUGUUCGGAAUUACUGGGCGUAAAGCGCGCGUAGGCGGCUUUGUAAGUUAGAGGUGAAAGCCCGGAGCUCAACUCCGGAACUGCCUUUAAAACUGCAUCGCUUGAAUCCAGGAGAGGUGAGUGGAAUUCCGAGUGUAGAGGUGAAAGUUCGAUAGAUAUUCGGAAGAACACCAGUGGCGAAGGACGGCUGCACUGGAGCGUGGUAUUGACCGCGUGAG